UAACUUUCUUUGAUAUAUUUUCCAGUUCUAUAUUAAGGAAUUAAGUGAUUGUCUGACAUAAUAAGUUUUCUUUCUUUCCUGUCUUCUGCUUACUUUUGUUGAUUCUGGACCAUGAAUAAGAUAAAAAGGGCAGGAGAGUGAGUGUUGUGAAUGAAGCUUAAUUGCUACCUCUAGAGUAGACCGGCUGAGAAGCCCUUGUUCCCAUUGUCAAGUAUAUUCGUUGCUCAUGCCUACCGAAUAGAAAACCAAAUUGAAGAUUUAGUUUGAAAAUGAUUAUGCUUUCUUCUUUUUAUCCAUGGAUCCUCUACAUGUUCCUUUGGGAGUGUUGAUCAAUAAAAAUUAUAUAUUAUGAUUUUGUAGUCCUAAUUUCAACUUCUGUUGUGUUUGGAUCAACUGAUCAACUACCAUAAUGCUAUAAUCAAAUUAAGCAUGUUUUGAGAGCAUUACUGGAAGAUGAUCUCUUAUAGGGUUAGAGGAGUACUCUAUGUGUCACAAAAUAUGUAUAUAUAUGUGGAAAAUUUUGCCUAUUAAUCAGACAUUUAUUUAAUCAGUUCAAUUUCUUCCUAAACCUAAUUGUUUCUUCCCACUUGCAGUAUAAUAUUAUCAUAAUAUUUGUCCUGAUUAAUUGUUAUAUAUUUUUCUAUCUUUUCAAAAUUUUGUAAAAGGGAAAACUGUCUAUGGAGUUUAAAAAAGUUUGAUCAAAGAUGAGAUAGUCGUGCAGGUUAUCACAGUCCAUUUAAUUAUGACUGUGCUAAAAUUCCAACUCUGUUAUUUCCUUUCCCAGAGGAAUUUUUUCUUCUUUCUCUCAUUUUGAUUAAAUUAUGAAUAUAUACUUUAUUUUUCCAUCUUUUAUGGAAAUGGCUUGGUGAGAUUUAGGUUCCCCUGGAUUAUGUGAUAAUUUUUUAUGUUUGAAUUGAAUUUGAACCCCAUCUAAUUGGGUUUUCAGGUUUGCUUUGUGCUGUGAAAGACUUUUCCCCUUGCUUAUUUUUUCCUUUAGUAAAAUAAACGUUUGGAUGAUAGUAAUAGCUUUGUUUUAUCCCAUGUUUGUAAUGCAGUUAGUGUAAGUGAAAUUGAGGCUGUGUAUGAAUUGUUUAAAAAGAUCAGCAGUGCAGUAAUUGAUGAUGGGCUGAUCAACAGGGAAGAAUUUCAGUUAGCAUUGUUCAAGACAAACAAAAAGGAGAGCUUAUUUGCUGAUUGGGUUCUUUCUAUAUGUCCAAUUCAUGGAAUCUUAUUUUCAUUUUCCAUGUAUUUGACUUGCUUGAUACUAAGCACAAUGGUAUACUAUAUUUUGAAGAGUUUGCUCGUGCACUUUCAGUCUUUCACCCCAAUGCUCCUAUUGACGAUAAGAUUGAGUUUUCAUUCCAACUAUAUGAUCUUAAACACCAGGGGUUUAUUGACAGACAGGAAGUAUUUUUUCUCACUACUUGCUUCUUUAGUUUCUUGGGUUACUUAUAUUUUUCAGGCAUGUUCGAAAAGUUCUUUUGAUCACCUUUCUUUAUUAUAUAGGUAAAGCAAAUGGUUGUAGCUAUGCUUUCAGAAUCUGGAACGAAUCUUUCAGAUGAUGUUAUAGAGAGUAUUGUUGACAAGUUGCUUUUCUAGUCUGACUGAUUUGGUUUCCCUGUCAGUUGAUGUGAAUGAUAGUUAUAAAUGUCAUGGAUUCAAUCAAUUCUUUUUUUUAAUCUUUUUUAUGCUGACGGAGCUUUCUGUUAUGUGUUUUGUAAUGAGUAGUUGAAUUCAGUCAAUUUAGUUUUUCUGUGGUGCUAUGAUCCUCCAUUAUGUGAUGUUAUCAUGUUCUUGGAACUAAUUCAGAUCUUACCUAAAAUAACCCAGAAAAUUAUUUGUCCCUGGACUCAUUUGUCAAAGCCAAAUAUAAUUAUCUUUAUUCUGUUUUUUGAGUAGACUGUUAUGCAAACAAACUCUGUAGAACUAGUGUUCUUGCUACUUUACGAUAUUCCUAAUACUUAACUUUGAGAGGUGGUUAUGGAGAAUUUUAAUUUUUAUAUCAAUGUUAAUUAUAGAUUUAAUUGUAAUUGCACAAAUAGUGCUGAGUCAUAUGGCAAUCAGUGUUGAAGGAAAAGAUGUGGAAAAAUGCUCAAGAGAAGGAAGAGAGUCAAUUUAAUGAUCAUAUGGCUUCCACACAUCCUAGUCCUUGAUAGUUUUAUUUGUGGAAAAUCCGAAUGGAUGCUAUUUAGUGUUGAUCUUUGCUAGGUUGCAUAGCAACUCAUGAAUGUAAGAGCUUAUGCUGCUAUUCUGACCAACUAAUGUUGAGAAAUACCAAAGUUGUGUUGAUUUUCUGUAUAAUUAUUGUGUUAAAUCGAUGGAUUACUGAUGCACAAAUACGUAAUUGGAUAUCCAAUCAAUUUUUUUUCUCAGUAGAUGUCACCUUUUUGUUAUACUUGGACCUUUGAGGAAGCUGAUACUAAACAUGAUGGGAAGAUUGAUAAGGAAGAGUGGUGUAACCUUGUUUUGCAACAUCCAUCUCUUUUGAAGAAUCUGACUCUUCAAUAUCUCAAAGACAUCACCAGUUCAUUUCCCAGUUUUGUGUUUCACUCACAAGUUGAUGAUACCUGAGAUUCAGGCCCUUUUAUCAUAUGAAGCUAACUAGUUUUGUGCUGGGAAUGUUGUUGUUUGUUGGUGGAGAAAUGUGGGUUUUUGUGUGCAGAGGUUCACAUUUAGAGAGAUGUUAGACUUUUUGUUUACUUGAGAGAUACUAUAAAAACUGUAUGUCAGUUUGGAUAGAUUUUUUUAAUGGUUUAUUUGUCAUUCUUUUGCUUCA